UAUUAAAGCCAUACCACAAAGAAAGCGCUGGUUCUCGUUCGAUCACCGAAGUUAAACUUCGUCAAGCCGGGUUAGUACUUGGAUGGGUGACCGGCUGAGAAUAUCCUGUGUUGUUGACU
rnacentral:rRNA from 1 species